rnacentral:rRNA from 1 species
GUACAUCCAGAGAACUUAGCAGAGAUGCUUUGGUGCCUUCGGGAACUCUGAGACAGGUGCUGCAUGGCUGUCGUCAGCUCGUGUUGUGAAAUGUUGGGUUAAGUCCCGCAACGAGCGCAACCCUUAUCCUUUGUUGCCAGCGGUUCGGCCGGGAACUCAAAGGAGACUGCCGGUGAUAAACCGGAGGAAGGUGGGGAUGACGUCAAGUCAUCAUGGCCCUUACGGCCAGGGCUACACACGUGCUACAAUGGCGCAUACAAAGAGAAGCGACCUCGCGAGAGCAAGCGGACCUCAUAAAGUGCGUCGUAGUCCGGAUUGGAGUCUGCAACUCGACUCCAUGAAGUCGGAAUCGCUAGUAAUCGUAGAUCAGAAUGCUACGGUGAAUACGUUCCCGGGCCUUGUACACACCGCCCGUCACACCAUGGGAGUGGGUUGCAAAAGAAGUAGGUAGCUUAACCUUCGGGAGGGCGCUUACCACUUUGUGAUUCAUGACUGGGGUGAAGUCGUAACAAGGUAAGCGUAGCGAG